GACGAACGCUGGCGGCGUGCUUAACACAUGCAAGUCGAACGGAAAGGCCCUGCUUUUGUGGGGUGCUCGAGUGGCGAACGGGUGAGUAACACGUGAGUAACCUGCCCUUGACUUUGGGAUAACUUCAGGAAACUGGGGCUAAUACCGGAUAGGAGCUCCUGCUGCAUGGUGGGGGUUGGAAAGUUUCGGCGGUUGGGGAUGGACUCGCGGCUUAUCAGCUUGUUGGUGGGGUAGUGGCUUACCAAGGCUUUGACGGGUAGCCGGCCUGGGAGGGUGACCGGCCACCUUGGGCCUGCGGUACGGCCCAGACUCCUACGGGGGGCAGCAGUGGGGAAUAUUGCACAGUGGGCGGAAGCCUGAUGCAGCAGCGCCGCGUGCGUGAUGACGGCCUUCGGGUUGUAAACCGCUUUCGCCUGUGACGAAGCGUGAGUGACGGUAAUGGGUAAAGAAGCACCGGCUAACUACGUG
rnacentral:rRNA from 1 species